UAUAAACUAUCACGACGCCCUACAAGUCGUGGCUUGGAAUAUUGCCAGCUGAUAUAUGCCUCCAUGUGGAGCUGGAGUGAGGCGUCAGAUCUAUGGCUUGUUCCUAAUAAAACCGGUUGCAGCCGUAUAAUGGUCUUGCAUAGACUUGAGGUUGCAGCGGCGGAGUCGUGGCUCAGUACUCAGAUGACUUGAUAAGCACGCUCUACCGUUGUGGCUUUAUAGCCUGUGUUCGAUCGUCUUAUGGUGUGUACCC
rnacentral:misc_RNA from 1 species